rnacentral:rRNA from 1 species
UACGUAGGGCGCAAGCGUUGUCCGGAAUUAUUGGGCGUAAAGAGCUCGUAGGCGGUCUGUCGCGUCGGAUGUGAAAGCCCGGGGCUUAACCCCGGGUCUGCAUUCGAUACGGGCAGACUAGAGUGUGGUAGGGGAGAUCGGAAUUCCUGGUGUAGCGGUGAAAUGCGCAGAUAUCAGGAGGAACACCGGUGGCGAAGGCGGAUCUCUGGGCCAUUACUGACGCUGAGGAGCGAAAGCUAGGGUAGCAAACGGG